GCCGCGAAUAGCUCAUUACAAUAGCCGUUGUUUCUUGGAUCCUCAAUUUACUUGGAUACCUGUGGUAAUUCUAGAGCUAAUACAUGCGACUAAGGGCCGAACUCACGUGACGCUUGCAUUUAUUAGAUCAAGACUAACCGGCUUCGGCCGUUAACUUGGUGACUCUGAAUAACUCAGCUGAUCGCACGGUCUAGUGCCGGCGACAUAUCUUUCAAGUGUCUACCUUAUCAACUGUCGAUGGUAGUUUAUGUGACUACCAUGGUUGUAACGGGUAACGGAGAAUCAGGGUUUGACUCCGGAGAGGGAGCCUGAGAAACGGCUACCACUUCUAAGGAAGGCAGCAGGCGCGCAAAUUACACAAUCUCAGCACGAGGAUGUAGUGACGAAACAUACCGAGGCGAUGCCCUUUCGGGUGUCGUCAUUGGAAUGAGUCGAAUCUAAAAAAUUCGGCAAGGAUCUAGUGGAGGGCAAGUCUGGUGCCAGCAGCCGCGGUAAUUCCAGCUCCGCAAGUGUAUAUCUAUGCUGUUGCGGUUAAAAAGCUCGUAGUUUGAUUCGCGUACUUAGCACGCAGUGUGGCCUUUCGGCUACUACUGUGAUGCGGUACAUUAUCGUCAGUUUGUCGUUGAUGCUCUUCAUUGGGUGUCAGCGGCGGCUGUCAAGUUUACUUUGAACAAAUUAAAGUGCUCAAUACAGGCGUUUCGCUUGUAUAGUUCUGCAUGGAAUAAUAGAAUAGGACUUACGUUCUAUUGUGUUGGUUUUCAGAACGAAAGUAAUGAUUAAGAGGGACAGACGGGGUCAUUCGUACUGCCACGUUAGAGGUGAAAUUCUUGGAUCGUGGCAAGACGAACUACUGCGAAAGCAUUUGACAAGAAUGUUUUCAUUAAUCAAGAACGAAAGUUAUGGGUC
rnacentral:rRNA from 1 species